rnacentral:lncRNA from 1 species
GCAGCGUUAGAGGGCUCACCCUGGUGGUGUAAAGAGUCAACUACCACCCAGACCCAGAUCCUGGGCUUUGAGUUGCCCCUCUCCAAAAUCUACAUUAUCUCUGAACUGUUGGGGUGUGUGAAAGGGCCAGCCGUGCUGAUUCUAAGCUGCAGGAUCUCCAUGACACAGGGCAACAAGAGUCUAACCAGGAGGAUUCCACAUGAGGAUUAAAUACUGAGGGUGUUAAAGAAACCAGAGACUUCGAACCAGACCAAUGACUCAUUGCAAUGAGCAUGUGUAAGUGAAGAUGUGUGGACAGAGGGAUAUACUGUGAGACACACUGUGGUAUAACAAACUGUUUUCUAUGAUUUGUUUUGUUCUGUUUAUUUUUGUUUGUGUGUGUGUGUGUGUGUUUUAUUUGAGGGAGGAUGUUGCAAGGGUGGAGAGCAGAUACGAGGGCAUGGGAAGGUGAAAGGGACUGAGGUGCAUAAUGUAAAACUCACAAAGCAUCAAUAAAAAGUUUUGUAAUUACA